rnacentral:rRNA from 1 species
AACAGAGGGGGCAAGCGUUAUCCAUGAUAAUUGGGCGUAAAGGGUGUGUAGGUCGAUAUUAUAUAGAAAAUUUGGUAAAAAAUGAUUACGUAUUGCCGUAAAUUUAAUCUUAUAUAAUACUAUCUAAGAGAUAUAAAGAAGUUAGUGUAAAAUGAUAUUGAACAGGGCAUUUGACUUUAAAAAUAUCAGGUAACAUCUAUGGUGAAGACAACUAACUUGUUAUAUUCUGACGCUAAAGCACUAAAUUCAAGGGCGCAAAAGGG